GGAAAAAGAAGUGGAAAAAGAAAAAAAUGCAAACAGGCAAAUAUUAAUUCCUGUUUUAUCUUUCUUGAUUAAGACCUGGAAGGAGCGAAGGCGAUUAGAAACUAAAUACGUCGAAGGAGAAAAGGAAGAAAGAAAGGAAGAAAGAAAGAAAGAAAGGAAGGAAGGAAGGAAGAAACACACUUGCGUGCUGAUGAUAUAGUAGCUUCUUUUCGACGGGAAGACUAAGCGGUGGAAAUGACGUUCGUAUAUACAUAUGUGUAUAUAUAGAAGGAGAGAGAAAAAGUACGUAUAUAUAUAUAUAUAUACACACGUUGGCAUACACCGUCUGCUUCGUGACAUCUGCACCGACACCUGCGUUCGUAUAAUAGGACCCUCGUCGCCCUUCACCGCCUUCCGAAACAUCUUGUAAACGUAAUGAAGCCCUUAUAUAUCGUACAAACCUUGGAUGAAGUGAUAGUAGUAGUAGUAGUAGUAGUAGUAGUAGGAGUAGUAGUAGUACCCUUCUAAUAACAUCCGCAACCAAUUAUCCUGAUCGUUAGGCGUUGUAGACAUAUCAAAAUAAUGCUCGUUACACUUAUUUUCGGGAGAGUCAACUUUUUUACCUGGAGUAUACCAAUUUUUUUUGUUCUAAUUUUUUUCUUUUUUUCUACCAAAAUUAUGACGUUUACGCGUAACUUAUUUUCAAGAUGUACAUCACCCACGAUAUCCCCGUGAUUAAACGUCCUCCUUUAAGAAACUUUUCAAUAUUCUUGGGAAAAAGGAAAAAAGAAAACUGAAAGAUUCGAAUCGUUCGGUUCACUCAAAAGUUCGACAAAUACUAAACCGAUAGUUGGCGACGACGUCCUUUUUAUACUCCUGCACGUAAUAUAUCUUUCAGGCAGAUAGUUGAUGUAGUUGAGUAGAGGAACAACUCUAAUUGUUUGAUUUUAAAAAAGGUCCGUACUAAUACAAAAGAAGAAACAACCUAAGCGGGGUCAUUACAGUGACAUUUGGGACUUUAGAUAAUUUUUACUGUCAUUAUUCAGUUUAAAAUGUCCAAGUAUUUUACAAUGGUAGUUCGACAUAAAAUCAAUAAAUUUAAGAUUAUUGAUAGAUAAUAUAUUGGUAUAUUGAAAGAGAGCUCCUAAGAUUAAUGCGGUGAAAAUUGGAUAGAAUCAAACAAUGAAAAAGAUAUUUACACGAGACGCGUUGUUGUAAGAAAGAAGGAAAAAGAAAAAGUAAUUUUUCAUUUGGUAUGGCGACAACUUGCGAUAAGAAUGAGAAGAGAGAAUGUAACUUUUCUCUCAAGGGUCGAGAGAAGUAAUAAAGAUGGAUGAGGAUGGUAAAUAUUUUGUGUUAUAGAGAUAGGAAGAAAAAAGAGAAAGUUACCGUCCCGGCACGGAAAUGUAAUAAAGUUUCGAAGGAAUGUUAUCGCUUCUCAGUUUUUAUUUUCCAUUUUUUCGUAGCAAAGAUGUAUCUAUAUAUGUAUGUAUGUAUGCAUGUAUGUAUGUAUGUAUGUAUGUAUGUACGUAUGAUGUAUGGAUGUAUACAUCUAUGUAGAUUCAUUGAGCAUCCUCGGCGAAGAAGUGAUUUAUUAAUGAAAAGCAUCGGAACGAGCGGAAGGGAAGGCGUCGUACGCGCCACUGCGAUUACGAUACAAUGUUGCAACGAGAUUGGGAGUGAGAAGGCUUGCGGCCGAGUUUGUCCGCUUGGCUCGAUUAAAUAUUUUUAUCGGCUUCCUCUCGCGAUAAAGAAUGGAGGAAAAAAAAAAAAAAAAAAAAAAAAAAAAAAAGAAAAAAAAAAGAAAAAAAAAAGAAAUAGAGGAAGGGAACGUAAGCGAGUCGUAAUAAUCGAAAACAAAAGAAAAGAAAAAAAAGAAAAAACUCACUAGCGAUGAUAUUUUCGACGAGAUCCUGAUCACGACUCUCAAUGACUCUGCUUCUGCUUGGGACGAAAAUGCAGGCGCAGAGGGAAAAAAGGCGUUACAAGAGAAAAAACGUGCAACAAUCUCGAAAAAAAGGAAGAAGUAGAAGAAGACGAAGUGGGGAUAGCGCCUUCUGAGAAGUAUCCGGGCAUCCGGGACUUUUUUUCGUUGGAGUGUGUGAGACAGACAGAGAGAGAGAGAGAGAGAGAGAGAGGGGGGGGGGGGAGAGAGAGGACAGAGAAAAGAAGCAGUGGGAGGACGAUAGGAGAGCGAGAGGAAAGGAGGAAGGGUGUUUGAAAGGAGGGAGAGAGAAAAGAACGGAAAGGUCUAUGAAACUAAAGAGAAGCAUCCUUACAUCGGCGGUGAAGCUAGCGAGUUUGUGUAUGUAGAAGUAUGCCUUUUCACGUGGCAUUAUCUCGACAUCGGCUUCUUGGAAAACGGGGUCGUUUCGACGUUCCACACCAACGAAGAAGAAUCACUCGGGAAAGCUAGAUGGAAGGAAAGAAAAUACGUAGAUAUAAGAAAAUAUAUUUUUGUCCACCAUCGAUGUACGGUGAUCGAAGGAAAUGGCGUCUUUUAAAUUACUCCCUUUUCUCUCUAUUUUUUCUUCCUUUUUCUUUCCUUUUUUUUUUUUUUUUUUUUUUUUUGUAUCAUUU